UACGGUGGGAGCUAGUGUUAUUCGUCAUGACUGGGCGUAAAGGGUACGUAGGUGGUAAAGGAGAGGUAAAUUAAAUCCUAGGGAAUCCCCUUUGUUUGUUUAUCCAGAGAAUUUACUAGAAUAGGAGGCAGGACGUUUGUAUUAUUUAUUGAGAAGUUAAAUACGUAGAUAGAAAUAAGACAGACAAUUGUGAAAGCGAAUUUCUGGCCCCAAAUUGACACUAAGGUACGAAGGCAUAGGUAGCGAAACGG
rnacentral:rRNA from 1 species